rnacentral:rRNA from 1 species
UACAGAGGUCUCAAGCGUUGUUCGGAUUCAUUGGGCGUAAAGGGUGCGUAGGUGGCGGGGUAAGUCAGGUGUGAAAUUUCGGAGCUUAACUCCGAAACUGCAUUUGAUACUGCCUUGCUUGAGGACUGGAGAGGAGACUGGAAUUCACGGUGUAGCAGUGAAAUGCGUAGAUAUCGUGAGGAAGACCAGUGGCGAAGGCGGGUCUCUGGACAGUUCCUGACGCUGAGGCGCGAAAGCGUGGGGAGCAAACGGG